rnacentral:lncRNA from 1 species
AUGGCUGAUACGGAAACUAGCGACGGAUGCGAACAUCUGACCACCAAUCAAGUGACUCCUGUGCAGGUAACCGAGGGGACAGAUGGAGAGGCUGUGGAGGCCGUUUCAGAAGCAGCAACAUCGGUGGACGCUGGAGAAACGGAACACGUUCAUGAAUCUUCCCAUGAACUUUCCAAAGAGAGGGAAGAGGAUAAUGAUGCUGCUGCUGCUGCUGACAAAGAUAUGGAAAGUGAAGAAGCAGAACUUAAAGAAACUGAGACCGAGGUGAUCCACUCUGUUGGUUCUACAUCUCCAUCACAAGCUUUUUCUGCAGAGGAGACAGAGGAGACCGUUACGGUUAAUCAUGGUGAGCCAGGUAGCACCACAGAGCCCCAAAAAGAGGCUCCUGAGGUGAAAUCUGACGAGGGUCUUGAGGUGAUAUCUGAUGAAGGGGUUGAGUCAAAGGCAGAAGAUCUUGCAGUGAAAGAUGAGAGCCUAGAGGAAAGCCCUGCAGUAGCAGAUGUCAGUGAGGAUACAUGCAUGGACGCAGCUCCUGAUCAUGAGGAGGAGAACGAAAUAAAAAACACUGAUGAAAACAUGGACACAAGGAAUGACACUAAGGAGGAAGUCUGCACAGAGCAGGAGUCAUCCAUCGGCUGUAAACCAAAGGUUUUGACAGCGGGCGAUGAACUCGAUGAGAUGAUGGACAUCGGUACAGUGGAUCAGGUGGAGCAGGAAGCUCAGAUGAAAGAGGAGGAACAGAACAGCUUGAAGGAUAUGGAAAGCAGCCGCUCACCUGACGCUUCAAAUACAGGUAUAAAGAUGCUCUUUGAUUGGUAGAUUUGUAGAUGCAAAAUAGAAUCUUUAUGAUCUUGUAGGAAAUUAUCUAAAUAAAUAAAACUUUUAAUAUCAGCAAAUAUGAGAAAACAUCUACUCUGACACUCCUUCAUCUGCUAAAGGCCAAAAAUGUAUUUCCUAAAAAGUGACCACUGCAAACAUUUUGUAACUUUUAAACGCAGACAGGCUUCUCUAAAAAGACUCUUUGACCUUUGUUACCCUGCAACCUUUGUCGAGUCCACGUCAGAGCACACUGAGCUGUAGAAAUGCUUUCACUCCUCCUUUAAAGACAGCAUGGCAGAAAGUCUCCCAACAGUUGGCAGAACUGUGUGUUCUCAUUUGGAAGGCGUAGUUUUUGUCAUCCCACUAAAUCCUGUGUUUUAAAAUUCCCACACAGCCUCAGUGGCGGAGGACAGUAACUCUGUUACAGAGGAAGCUGAUGUGAAACCCACAACUUCAGACUUGAUGCAGUCCAGCUCGUCUCCAUCGUCUGAGGCCACAGGAAGUACAGGUGGGUGAUCUCAAUGCCAAACUACAAAUAGUAUGAAAUUAUAAUCUCAUUAUGUGGAAAAUCUUGGCAGCAGAACAAACUUUUAUAUUAAUAUUUUCAUUAAAUUUGUAAUAAAUAAACAAAAAAACCCCUAGAAGUCCACAUACAUAAAAAAUUGUAUAUAACAAGACUAAAAUGGUACGGUUCACAUGAAACGACUAUCCUGACUGAACCUUUGUGAAAUACAAAUGCUUUAUUAGAGUCCAAAGAUCUUUUCAAAUUUGGCUGAACAAACCCG